rnacentral:rRNA from 1 species
UACGGAGGGGGCUAGCGUUGUUCGGAAUUACUGGGCGUAAAGCGCACGUAGGCGGCUUUGUAAGUUAGAGGUGAAAGCCCAGGGCUUAACCCUGGAAUUGCCUUUAAGACUGCAUCGCUAGAAUCGUGGAGAGGUGAGUGGAAUUCCGAGUGUAGAGGUGAAAUUCGUAGAUAUUCGGAAGAACACCAGUGGCGAAGGCGACUCACUGGACACGUAUUAA